CCUACGGGUGGCAGCAGUGAGGAAUAUUGGUCAAUGGACGAGAGUCUGAACCAGCCAAGUAGCGUGAAGGAUGACUGCCCUAUGGGUUGUAAACUUCUUUUAUAUGGGAAUAAAACGUUCCACGCGUGGGUUUUUGUAUGUACCAUAUGAAUAAGGAUCGGCUAACUCCGUGCCAGCAGCCGCGGUAAUACGGAGGAUCCGAGCGUUAUCCGGAUUUAUUGGGUUUAAAGGGAGCGUAGGUGGAUUGUUAAGUCAGUGGUGAAAGUGUGAGGCUCAACCGUAGAAUUGCAGUUGAAACUGGCAGUCUUGAGUACAGUAGAGGUAGGCGGAAUGCGUGGUGUAGCGGUGAAAUGCUUAGAUAUCACGAAGAACUCCGAUUGCGAAGGCAGCUCACUGGACUGCAACUGACACUGAGGCUCGAAAGUGUGGGUAUCAAACAGGAUUAGAUACCCGAGUAGUC
rnacentral:rRNA from 1 species